GGCAGAGCAUCCAUUUUGUAGAUGAGCACGUGGCUGCUGGUCAGAGAGGCUCCCAGUGCUGUAAUUUUUCCUUAUUCAGUCCUUUGUUGUAUUUUUAUUAAGGUUUAAUAAACCUUUGAAAUUUUAAAAGUGAGCAUCGUUUCUCACAAAUGGGGACUCGUCCAGGAUAAAAACCUUGUCUCUCUGACCCUGGAAUAUUUCAAGAGGGAGGCACACCCCGCCAAGUUCAGCCGCUUGAUUGACUUCUUUUCAGGUCACCAGGGAUUAGCAGGUUAACACCCUGAAGACAGCAAAGGACUGAAUAACGAAAAAGAAGAGGGGGAAGUUGCAGGAUGGGUGGAGAUGCCUCGGGACCUCACUGGGACUCCACCGGGACUCCGUCAGACCCCCCGCUAGGACCCCGCAGUGCCCCGCGCAGCCUGCUUCAACCAGACACCUUCUGUUCCUGCGGAGAGGACCAAGAAGGACAUUCAUGGAUGCCAAAGAUCAACAUCUCCAGCAAAUGGACCUUCUCCUGAAACUCAGCUGUUUGGACUUUAAAACAAUGAUUAUUCAUUGCAUUCUCCUAAGAGAUAUUAGACAUUGUUUGGUUCACUCAUACUGUAAACCCUGUCUCAAUGAUAUGAUAGAGAUAGAUAUUCUACAGGUAGAGAAUCUCCCUGACCAUUCAAAGUCAGCAUCUGAUUGAGGUUCUGAUUGACGAUCAGCAAAUUACUAAAGGAACCUCUUAAGCUGUUUGUUCUCCUUCCUGCAGAAGGAUCCUGCAGAGGAUUACAAAUGCCUCCUUCCUUUUUAAACACAAAAGGGUGAGCUGUGGCAGCAGCUCUCUGGUCAUAGAGAAACAACUUUCCCAGGCAUUAUCCUGGGGAAAAGUCUGUGAGAAGAUCAGAGAAAAGAAUGAGAAAAAAUUCUUAUCUUCACUUGCUGCACCUGUUGUUGUGAACAUGUGGAAUGUCUUAUGGAGAUCUGUUUACCAAAGGGUGGUUUCUUAAUUAGCCAAUGGUGAUGGUGUUUGGAUUGGAAGACCAAUUAGGUCCAGAUGUAUCAUAACUGUCUAUAAAAGCAAUGGGUUUCUUAAUAAUGAUAGAAUAAUAAAGAGAUUGAUCAGCCUUCUGUGAA